AUUGAACGCUGGCGGCAUGCUUUACACAUGCAAGUCGAACGGCAGCGCGGGCUUCGGCCUGGCGGCGAGUGGCGAACGGGUGAGUAAUGCAUCGGAACGUGCCCAGUAGUUGGGGAUAGCCCGGCGAAAGCCGGAUUAAUACCGCAUACGACCUGAGGGUGAAAGCGGGGGACCGAAAGGCCUCGCGCUAUUGGAGCGGCCGAUGUCGGAUUAGCUAGUUGGUGGGGUAAAGGCUUACCAAGGCGACGAUCCGUAGCUGGUCUGAGAGGACGACCAGCCACACUGGGACUGAGACACGGCCCAGACUCCUACGGGAGGCAGCAGUGGGGAAUUUUGGACAAUGGGGGCAACCCUGAUCCAGCCAUGCCGCGUGCGGGAAGAAGGCCUUCGGGUUGUAAACCGCUUUUGUUAGGGAAGAAAUCCUCUGGGCUAAUACCCCGGGGGGAUGACGGUACCGGAAGAAUAAGCAACGGCUAACUACGUG
rnacentral:rRNA from 1 species